CUCCACACGUCACUCGAGCGCCGCGCCUAUAAAUACCAGUCUUUCCACUCCCACAGCCGUUCUUCGCUUGCUUGGCGUGGGCGGUAGUUCUUCAAGCUGUAACUCUUGAGCUGUUAACUCUCAUAGAGCUGUAUACCGAUCAUGCCGGAGUUAUCUUCAAAAGUCCAACUAAACUCAUCAGUGUGUUCAUCAACCAAUAAUAUAUGACCGUCGUAUGAGAAUGGCACCCAAAUAACAUGAUGCUGGAAAUAAGAGCUCUGAUUUCGGAGAUGUGCUGGUAACUGGAAAUCAGCCUGCUGGGAUGUUUUACACCAUGGAAAUCAACAGAUAUUAUCAGUUGGGACUUUACCUGUUUUGUGGAUUAUCUAGAUUUAAGAACAUCUUGAAGAAAACAAGUGUGAUGUAUCUGUAACUAUUAUACUGUGAAUAGCCUGAAAUAUUAAAGAAAUAUUCUUCUGGUAUUUGAAAACUAUUAUCUGCUUCAGCAAACUAGUUGCUCAUGUCAUUGACAUCUGAGCAAUGUUUUGACAUACUUUUCCUUACUUCAUGAAAAGAAAAGAACCAAGUUUAGGGAAGGACUAUACUCAUUGGUCAAUGGUAUGAAUGAUUUCUGUGAUGAAAUGGAUAGUAAUCAGUUAUUUGCAGUUUGAUUUUGUAACACUAUUGUUGGCAAUAAAAUUAUAAAAAUAAACAG
rnacentral:lncRNA from 1 species